CAGACAGACAAAGAUGGCGGGAGAUUGUGUGGAAUUGCCUCAUUUAACACGGAAAAGCAGUGGAGGAAACACUGAGUUUAAGCACAACGGGGCUGCUCCAUUUGAAAUCAAACAAUCACAAUGCUGAACAGUCAUAGGGAAGAAGUCGAGAAGAAGACAUAAAUGGGCACUGGCAAGCAUCAUUCUGAGAAAGGGGAAGGAAGGGAGAGGAAGUUGGGGAAAGGGAGAGCUUUUCUUGGAAACCCCCUCAGGCUUCAAGAAGAGUGGUGUCAUCCGUGGAACUCUUCCCUUCCCUUCCAUUGGGGAAAGUCAAGACAAAUCAGCGAGCACUCUGCACCAUCAUGGCUCUUCUCGGGAGCCAGAAAUCAAGACUUUGCCUUUCUUUUUCUCCCCAGUUUAGCAGCAGAGCAAACCCCUAGCAAACUACUUAAUCGAUGCUGGACUCCGGAGGAACCUAGAGCUGGGAAUGGCUUUGAAUACUCGAGAAGGGAAUUCGCAUUUUAUACUAUAGGGACAAAAGGUCCAGAACCCUCUGGAGCAGCAGAGAAAUAGAUAGCCGUCAGGGGGUCAGUCUGUGUCUUUUGGGGAGUUUGGAAGAAGCCGGU
rnacentral:lncRNA from 1 species